rnacentral:rRNA from 1 species
UACGUAGGGGCCGAGCGUUGUCCGGAGUUAUUGGGCGUAAAGCGCGCGCAGGCGGCCUCGCGCGCCCGACGUGAAAGCCCCCGGCUUAACCGGGGAGGGUCGUUGGGGACGGCGGGGCUUGAGGGCGGGAGAGGUCGGUGGAAUUCCCGGUGUAGUGGUGAAAUGCGUAGAGAUCGGGAGGAACACCUGUGGCGAAGGCGGCCGACUGGGCCGAUCCUGACGCUGAGGCGCGAAAGCCAGGGGAGCAAACGGG